UCGUACAAAAUGUGUGAGGCAUGCAAUGGCUGUCGCUGACUUUUAACACAAAAGUCGUGCACGCCAGAGCGUGUCCUCUCACAUAAAAUCCAUCUCACCCUUUUGUGCACCACCGCGUGGGCGCCCUUCGGGAUCAAACCGAUCCAGGAGGGGGCUUGCGUUUUCACACAAAACCCCUUCUUAAAAAGUGUAGAAUGACCCCAUUUUUGCGAUAACACGCAAUCAAUA
rnacentral:misc_RNA from 1 species